GACGGAGGAUGCAAGCGUUAUCCGGAAUUAUUGGGCGUAAAGCGUCCGCAGGUGGCUGUUCAAGUCUGCUGUCAAAGCGCAGAGCUUAACUCUGUACAGGCGGUGGAAACUGAAGAGCUAGAGUAUGGUAGGGGUAGAGGGAAUUCCCGGUGUAGCGGUGAAAUGCGUAGAUAUCGGGAAGAACACCAGUGGCGAAAGCGGCUCUCUGGACCACAACUGACGCUGAGGCGCGAAAGCUAGGGGAGCAAACAGG
rnacentral:rRNA from 1 species